UGCUGUGCUAUGGCUGCAAUAUCUGUCACCCCAUUGAUCGCCAGGGUUGAUUCAGCUGAUCUGGCUGGCUAGGCAGGUGUCCCCUUCCUCCCUCACUGCUCCAUGUGCGUCCCUCCCCAAGCUGCAUGCUCAGUCGAAGAGGACGGCCUUCCCCGAAUAGAGACUGAUCGGUCUUUCGUAGAAGGUAUACAAGUAGCUGAGCUCCCCUGCUAGAACCUCCAAACAGGCUCUCAAGGUCUAUCUGUGUAUAAGACUAAAUACUGCAACUGCAAGAUCAGGGCCAGCUUUCAUACACUU
rnacentral:snRNA from 1 species